rnacentral:rRNA from 1 species
GACGAGCGCUGGCGGCGUGCUUAACACAUGCAAGUCGAGCGGAAAGGCCCUGCUUUUGUGGGGUGCUCGAGUGGCGAACGGGUGAGUAACACGUGAGUAACCUGCCCUUGACUUUGGGAUAACUUCAGGAAACUGGGGCUAAUACCGGAUAGGAGCUCCUGCUGCAUGGUGGGGGUUGGAAAGUUUCGGCGGUUGGGGAUGGACUCGCGGCUUAUCAGCUUGUUGGUGGGGUAGUGGCUUACCAAGGCUUUGACGGGUAGCCGGCCUGAGAGGGUGACCGGCCACAUUGGGACUGAGAUACGGCCCAGACUCCUACGGGAGGCAGCAGUGGGGAAUAUUGCACAAUGGGCGGAAGCCUGAUGCAGCAACGCCGCGUGCGGGAUGACGGCCUUCGGGUUGUAAACCGCUUUCGCCUGUGACGAAGCGUGAGUGACGGUAAUGGGUAAAGAAGCACCGGCUAACUACGUG